GACAGAGGCCCCAAGCGUUAGGCGGAAUCACUGGGCUUAAAGCGUGUGUAGGCGGACGCCUAAGUGUCUUGUGAAAUCCCACGGCUCACCCGUGGAACUGCUGGGCAUACUGGGCGUCUUGGGCCAACUAGGGGCAGCCGGAACAAGCGGUGGAGCGGUGAAAUGCGUAGAUAUCUGGAGGAACACCGGUGGCGGAGGCGGCAUCCUGGACCGACACUGACGCUGAGGAGCGAAAGCCAGGGGAGCAAACGGG
rnacentral:rRNA from 1 species